rnacentral:tmRNA from 1 species
GGGGGCGAUCGGCUUCGACUGGAUCGCCGUAGAUUGAGGUGGCGUGUCGUGGUUGGUCUGCAGGCCACGUAAAAAGCAGAUCAAACAAUAACUGCAAAUAAUAAACAAUUUGCAAUGGCUUGCUAGUUAAUCUGGCGUAGCCCCAGCCUAGGGAUCCCUGACUGAGGAGACCGACAGCUGGUUGACAAAAUCAGUCUGGUAUCAGGUCAAUGUUCGCUACGCCUGAUACGAGAAAAGUGGUGAACUGGUUACCCGAGGCCUUGUUUGUUGAGCCAACGGUAACGAGACCCAAUCGAUAAACUACACACGUAGAGGCUUCUUUCAAAGCAUCACAGGACGCGGGUUCGAUUCCCGCCGCCUCCACAU